rnacentral:piRNA from 1 species
UGGCAGUCAGGAAAUNCAGGCUGGUGCAGU